rnacentral:rRNA from 1 species
AUUGAACGCUGGCGGCAGGCCUAACACAUGCAAGUCGAGCGGAUGAAGGGGGCUUGCUCCUGGAUUCAGCGGCGGACGGGUGAGUAAUGCCUAGGAAUCUGCCUGGUAGUGGGGGAUAACGUCCGGAAACGGGCGCUAAUACCGCAUACGUCCUGAGGGAGAAAGUGGGGGAUCUUCGGACCUCACGCUAUCAGAUGAGCCUAGGUCGGAUUAGCUAGUUGGUGGGGUAAAGGCCUACCAAGGCGACGAUCCGUAACUGGUCUGAGAGGAUGAUCAGUCACACUGGAACUGAGACACGGUCCAGACUCCUACGGGAGGCAGCAGUGGGGAAUAUUGGACAAUGGGCGAAAGCCUGAUCCAGCCAUGCCGCGUGUGUGAAGAAGGUCUUCGGAUCGUAAAGCACUUUAAGUUGGGAGGAAGGGCAGUAAGUUAAUACCUUGCUGUUUUGACGUUACCAACAGAAUAAGCACCGGCUAACUUCGUG